rnacentral:rRNA from 1 species
UACAGAGGGGGCAAGCGUUAUUCGGAAUUAUUGGGCGUAAAGGGCGCGUAGGCGGCCUGACAAGUGGAAGGUGAAAUCCCUCGGCUUAACCGAGGAACUGCCCUUCAAACUGUUUGGCUUGAGUCCGGGAGAGGUGAGUGGAAUUCCCAGUGUAGCGGUGAAAUGCGUAGAUAUUGGGAGGAACACCAGUGGCGAAGGCGGCUCACUGGACCGGUACUGACGCUGAGGCGCGAAAGCGUGGGGAGCGAACAGG